AACGAACGCUGGCGGCAUGCCUAACACAUGCAAGUCGAACGAGACCUUCGGGUCUAGUGGCGCACGGGUGCGUAACGCGUGGGAACCUGCCCUUAGGUUCGGAAUAACUCCCCGAGAGGGGUGCUAAUACCGGAUAAUGUCUUCGGACCAAAGAUUUAUCGCCUUGGGAUGGGCCCGCGUUGGAUUAGCUAGUUGGUAGGGUAAAAGCAUACCAAGGCGACGAUCCAUAGCUGGUGUGAGAGGAUGAUCAGCCACACUGGGACUGAGGCACGGCCCAGACUCCUACGGGAGGCAGCAGUGGGGAAUAUUGGACAAUGGGCGAAGGCCUGAUCCAGCAAUGCCGCGUAAGUGAUGAAGGCCUUAGGGUUGUAAAGCUCUUUUACCCGGGAUGAUAAUGACAGUACCGGGAGAAUAAGCUCCGGCUAACUCCGUG
rnacentral:rRNA from 1 species